GCUGUAGCUCAGUGGUAGACUACUUGCAUAAUAUGCAUGAAGCUCUGGGUUCAAUCUCCAGCAUAGAAGCA
rnacentral:tRNA from 1 species